rnacentral:rRNA from 1 species
UAAUUCGAGCAACGCGUAAGAACCUUAACUAGCUUAGCAUCCCAAAUGACAUCUCCUUAAUCGGAGAGUCCUUGGGACAUUGUGACAGUGGUGCAUGGUUGUCGUCAGCUCGUGUCGUGAGAUGUUGGGUUAAGUCCGCAACGAGCGCAACCUUGUCUUUAGUUGCCAUCAUUAAGUUGGGCACUCUAGAGAGACUGCCAGGGAUAACCUGGAGGAAGGUGGGAUGACGUCAAAUCAUCAUGCCCUUAUGCUUAGGCUACACACGUGCUACAAUGGGUAGUACAGAGGGUUGCCAAGCCGUAAGGUGGAGCUAAUCCCUUAAAGCUACUCUCAGUUCGGAUUGUAGGCUGAAACUCGCCUACAUGAAGCUGGAGUUACUAGUAAUCGCAGAUCAGAAUGCUGCGGUGAAUGCGUUCCCGGGUCUUGUACACACCGCCCGUCACACCACGGGAGUUGGAGACGCCCGAAGCCGAUUAUCUAACCUUUGGAAGAAGUCGUCGAAGGUGGAAUCAAUAACUGGGGUGAAGUCGUAACAAGGUAGCCGUAUCGGAAGGUGCGGCUGGAUCACUCCUUUCUAAGGA